rnacentral:misc_RNA from 1 species
GCAGAUAACACAAAGACUCCUUAUCGUGUGAUGAAGGACUGGGUUCACGUGCUGUAUUUGUUUUGUGAAUUCAAACGUGCGUAGCUCGCAUCAGUCGCCAUGGCAGCUUUACGCAGAUGUGACAAGCACAGCUGUACAGUAAUCAUUAUCAACGCUGGGAUCAGUUACUCUUGCCCACCAUCCCGCCGCUGUACAGGUGUGCAUGCCUGUGACGAGGCAAGCGGGCAACUGCAUAAUAUAAAAUGCUGGAGAACAAUUAACGAACCAUAUGAGGAAGCCAAGGCCGAGCCUGUCCGGCGCCUGGCCACUUCGCUCCACUUGAUCUUAUCAUUAAUAUCUGUGCCGGUAAGAUCCAUUCAGUGGUGGCGAGCGACAGAUGAGCACGUCCAAGUGUAUAGUGCGUCGAGAUCGAGCCAACACGGGACUGUAGUCUGAUAUAAAAGCUGAGGGAAGUUCCAUGGUGUUGUGGAUCGCACUGGUUGAUAGUGUAAAGAAAAGCUACAAAGAACGCAGUGCAACGUAACGACUGAAAACCAACAAUCUGACCUCAGGACGAAGGUUCCGCACCAAGCCACGGCGGUCCUUGCGUGAGGGAACACGAGCGGCGGUGGGCGGUGUGUGGGGGCGGCGGCGCUCUCAGGGUGCGAGCCAUGAGUGCCAGGUUGUUCUCUGCUCCGCCUCGCCCGCGUUUCCUAUUCCUGCUUCUGUUGUGCCUGACGCUGCCGACUCUCUGCGUCUCGACUGCCACGAUCGCAACGGUGGUGGCGCAGGGCAACACGGUUGUGUUCCAGCACCGGGUGGAGGCGCUGCUGGACGGAAAACAGGUACAUACGAGAAUGACGGUUGUGGAAGUCUCGAGGACAAAUAGCGACACACUCCUGGUCCUCGCUUCCUACGAUGACCACGACGACUUGACAGCGAUGAUGUCUAAGGAGACAGAAGCAAGAGCCGUGGCGGUGACGACUGUGGGUGGUCGCGUCGCUUCACUACUGCACCACGCCGAGGAAACGCCUGCCUCACUCAACUACAAGAGGGCCCUGUCCUCCCUCCUCACCCCAGCCCUCCACUCUCACAGUCUUGUCUACCACACACAGAGCGGAGUGCUUGGGACGUGCGAGGUGCGGUACCAACAUGAGGAGUCACGCACAGUAACCUGGUUGGACAUGACGCGCUGCUCCCAUUUCACCUACGAGCAGGUCCUCAGUGCUCACAACCUGCCACUUCUGCACCUGGUUGUGGAGCUUGAGGGCAGUACCUCCACGUGUGACUACAGCUGGCGGGGCGCGGACAGGGACCUGCUGGAGGGCGUCCGCUGCACUGAGACUCUGUUGGUGGCGCCGCGCUACACACCCGCCUCGCAGCUCCUGAACAUCACCCUCACCUCCUCCCUUAGCCAACUCAACGCUUCUCUCCUUGAGCCGGAAGUGUUUGAUUACAUGGAGGGAGCCACCGAGACUACAGAUCUAACUUUUCAGCCAGAAGAGCAAAAAGAAGCACAGGGGAAUGUACUCCAGCUGAUGGAGGAAGUGUGUCUGAGCGAGGGGGAGGAGCGUCUCACUGCCGAACUCCUGCAGAGGUUGUCAUACUUGUCCUAUGUCGUGGCGCGCUCCACCUCAGAAUUGCCUGACCUCCCUGCCGUCUGCCCCGUCAAUGUCAGGCGCGGCGUGGCUUUGGCAAUGGCUGUGGUUGGAGGUCCGCGAACACUACACUUUUUCGUGAAGCAGCUGGCUGAACUCUCACGAGCUUCAAGGAAUUUCAAUUUUUCUGACGACGAGUACUUUUUCACGCUGGCAUUGCGCAACCUGGUGAACCCCGAGCACCAUUCCAGUGAAGCCCUGCCUCGGGACUUCUUCCUCCGCAGAGAGAACCAAAUCGUGUAUGACGAGCUUGUGGACUACUUGCUGACCCAAACGCCGCCUGCUGUGGCUGGCGUAGCUGUGUUACUGGAAGGUCUUUCCAAGGUGGCGCCGCAGCUCUUUCAGCGUCUGUUGCAGAAGUGUGGACCAUUUUUGUUGCCUAGAGGCGCCUGUGAGCGUGGUGACUAUCCUGAGGCAGUGCGGUUGUUGCGGAGUGUGAGCGGCCUCAGCACGCGGCCCCAGGACUACGUGACCUCCCUUGGACCGUGCUUCGCCACUGACAACGUGAACGUAAUCGUCGCUGCCAUGGACACUCUCUCCACCGUCGAUUGUGACAUGCAGGGCGUGACUGAGCUGCAGAAGGUGGGCCUCGAUAGUCCCUCUGACUCUGAAAUUCGCAUCGCAGCAUACCGCGGCCUGGUGCACUGCCUCCCCUCUCAGCCCGACCUCAUCCAGACGGUGGCCAAGGCCCUGGACUCCUCGCACGACGAUUUCUCCACACAAGUGGCUUCUUACGUGUGGAGCCACAUUCAGUCGGUGAUUUCCUCCGACGACCCAAGUCUGCUGAGUCUGAAGGAGGUCCUGAGUGCCUCGGAUCUGGUCACUGGCGUGCCUGACCCGGUAUGGUACGACCCCAGACGACACUCCCGCCACCUGGCCCACACCGUGCACCUGGACGCCCGCACCUCUGUGACAGUGACCGGCGACUUGGCGUGGGGCAGGUACUCGCCCGCACCAAGGGCAAUAUACCUCACUGUCGCUCUUCACCAUGACGGAGCAACGCACCAGCUUGCCCAGGUGAUGGUGCGUGUGACUGGUGUGGAGGCCAUGGUGAUGAGCGUCCCCUGGGUGGAGAAGGUGCUUCAGGCCACCGGGUCUGCCGCUUCACAGCUGUGGUCCAUCGUGUCACGCAUGGCGGGCGGUAAAUCAAGGGAAAAGAGGGACGUAACUCAUAACCAGGUCACUGAGUUCUUACAGCAGGUGAUAACAAGGAUACCGGCUGCAUACAGGACCAAGAUUUCCACAGUUGAGUUGUACCUCCGCCUCCUGGACACUCACGCAUUCUACUUCCACCUCGAAGACCUUCGUUAUUCCUCUCCGUUGGAGGCUCUGGCCACUAGGCUUCAAGCUCCGCUCAGGGCUGUGCUUGUGGCUUUGGCACCGCUGCUGGACAACACGCUGACCCUGGCUACCUCCUCAGGAGUGCCCGUGGCCCUCGGGGUGCACGGGAUGGCCGGCGUCAACGCCCGCUGUGAUCACAUCGCCCCGGUCGGGGAAGGAGUGUUUAAUCUGGUGGCCAGUGGCGGAAUGGUGCUGUGGGGCCAUGCGAACGUGGGCGGUAGGAGGGAGGCGCCUCUUGUGAGCCACCUCCUUUGGACCCUCGACUUCCCUAUCUCCGCCAGCUACCAGUAUGAGGGCGAGGAAUUGCACGCCCACGUCCGGCUGCCGCGGAACUGGCCAGGCCACGUUUGGAUGAGCCGUCGAGAUACAACACUGAACGGUACCCUUGCGCCCGCCAGGACCACACGGAAUUGCUUUGGAGGAGAGGAGGUGCUAGAGAUGUGUCUAGAGGCUCGAGACGGAGAGAUGACGGGAGGGAUGAUGGGUCGCGGCAGCUGGCUGGCCCCCUACUUUCGUUCCGUGACGCUGCCCAGGCUGAAUCCUGCAGAACCCAUCAACGUGACCUUCUCCUUUCCUAAAAUCGGCGAGACGCAAAUGAGGCAGGUGGUGGUGGAGGCGGGUGGCCAGAGGUACAAUGGUGGCUUGGUGUUUCAAAACUCGCCCUUUAACUCCUUCGCCAUCACGCUCAACACGCCCUUGCACGUGUACCUCCUCAAAGGCUUAGCGGGCACGCGGGAAAGAAUCACGCAGGUCGCCAGUCUAGAGGCAAGCAUGGACCAGGACCGCUAUGGCCUUCGCUUACAGCUGUCCACACCUCAGUUGGUGCGGCAGAAGGUGUGGAGUCCAUCAGUCUUUAUAACGACGCCCGCGGAAGGGGAGGAAGAGGUGCUGCGUGUGUAUUUCUCAAUGAAGGAUGAGACAGAUGGUUUCCAGUCAGAUUUCAAUUUUCAGACGCUGGGGCCACUGUUGUCUUAUUUGGACCUGGAGACCUCAAGCCAGAUCGCUGGGACAGUGGAUGGGACUGACCGUUCGUUAAAGGUGUUAGAGAUCCGAUCACUGGAGGUCACGUCGUCAACCCUCUUCAGUAUGGGGUUGAGUGGACGUGUGCAACUGGCAGGCUCACCUCACGGCGAGGGUCACAUCAGGGUGAGAUGGGCUGGUGACGCAAAUCAGUUUGAGUUCAGCGUGGCACUGACUCCAGCGGUCACCUUCCUGGGGAUAUCGCAAUUCGAGGCAGGAGGGACCAGAGGCACUUCCCUCAGGGUGUCCUUCAGUGCUCUCCACAGCAGCAUUCAGUCUCCUAUGGGAGGCAGUCUGGUGCUCUUACUGGACACGAACACAGUGGAGCUGGACCUCAGCCUCGCCUUGGCUCACCUUGCAAGGAUAAAUUUAUCUCAUAGGCACAAGGGACCGCUCAACCUCCGCACUGCAGUGGCCGUGCGGUCAGAGUCCAUCGGCCUGGCCUGGUCAGCAGGUCAUGAACUACUGGUGCAGCCCGGCACCUUGCGGCAUGAAUUCAACGUGUCAUGGUCGGAAGAGCCAUCAGACACUGUGUCCUCGCUGGUGCACUACACAGCUGCUUCAGACAACUCCCUCUCGCGCUCCUUCAGGGCUCAGGUUGUGUAUCCAGGCCAGCUGGUGGAGGUGGAGCAGACCUUGGAGGAGGUGCAGCCCGGGACGUACAAGAGCAGGCUGCAAGUAAAGUUGGACCCAGGCCGGACCCUGAAUUCCGAGACAAUCUUCAUAACCCGAAUGAAGGAACAUGCCCUUUCUUAUGGCUUCUCUAACACCCUCAGGCUAGACACCUGGGAUACGCCACUCAGCUUGGUGGGCGCCUUCAACUGUGUCCCCGUUACGUGUUCUGUAGUGCUCACUAUAGAUCGUUCCGGGGAUCAACUUUUGGACCUGCAAGUGAAGCGCAACGCUGCGGCAGGCGUCUCACGCACCAACGCCCACAUAAUGAUUACGCAAUGGCUCAAUGGGACCAUGUCGCUGGACACGGUUCAGAAGAUCGGAUACUACGACUUCAAGUGCCAAAUUGCGUUGUGGGCGUGGCAGAGGGUUAUGCACGGACGCGCUCAGAUAAACUUGUUAUCUACUGACGUGGUGGUGUCGGAGGCGUUGAUGCUAGAGCUGCGAGAGGAUGGAAAACCUGGUUUUCCGACUCACUCGUACAAUGGCACUCUGAGAGUUGAUCAAGAUGACAGGACGCUCUUCACCAGGCAGGAAGUGUGGCCAGUAGUUGGGGGAGCCCAGCUGCCGCCUUGGCAAGUGGUGAUUCAGGGAGGCAUCGGUGAUGCUCUGCUCAACAGCUAUCACUUUGCAAAGGGGUCACUGAGGACGCCCGUGGGCCAGCAGUAUUCAGCAGACGGCGAGGCCCACACCGCGAUAGUGGGGCAGGAGUCUGUGGAGGCAACGGUGAUGUUUUCCGCUGCGCAGGACGCCCACGUACACUACCUCUUAGCCUGGGAGAUGGACAUGCAAACUCGCAACACAACUAAUAGUACUACAAACUCCAAGCAAGCGGCGAACAGUGGGGAGGAGACAGCGGUGGAGGAGGCUGCAAUGAAUACUGUGAUGAGUCUAGAAAGUUACGGGAGACUUAAAACACCACCCACAGGGGAGCUGGAGCUCUCUCUGGACUGCAAAAAAAAGCUCCUUCCUCCUGCUGACGGAACUCUCCUCGCUAUAAACAGGGUCGAUACGGAUGUCCGCCUGACACUGGUUGAGCAGCGGUGGGAGGUUGGCGGCACGCAAGGCAGUCUUAGCUGGACAGCGAACAUGUACUCGCUCAAAGGGCGCACCUGGCUCACACAGGGACAACGCUCCAUUGGACUAGUGUCGUUCGGGGCUGCUAAAAACCAGAGCCUGAAAAGCUCCCACAUCCUGAGCGUAAUGGACCCCGGUCAGGCUUGGGGACGCCUCGUCCUGGGGCUGGAAACUGAACACCUGGGUUCCUUUCCUCACAGCUUUCAGAGUUCAGCGGGCUUCAAACUGGCUGUGAAGAACGCUGAGGUGGGUCAGGCGCAGGCCCUCGUGCUCUGGACUCCUGCCGAGGCUGCUGUCAGUCUUGCCCUCACCACUUUCCUUGCAGCAAUGCCCGGGGGAAACUUGUUUUUAAAGAUGUGGAGAUCAGGAUUCGAGGGGCACGCGGCCUGGGCACACGUGAAGGGCGGCGGGGGCGUUAAGUGGGACCGCGGGGGACGAGACCUGGAGGUGGCACUGAAAUAUGAACACCCCGGGGCAGCAAUGCACGUCCUGGAAACCACUAUAUCCUUCAGCGUGUCCCAGCCCCUGUACCCACCCUUGACUCUGGUGCUGGCUACGAGGUUCAACCUGAACGGUGUCUAUCAUCUCGCUGUCAACGCGGAUUGUCGUUCGGAGCAGGAACAUUACCUGGUGACGGCGGCCAUGCAGCAUCCUGGAGGCAGCAGUGGCCUGCGUCUUCUGGUGCGGAAGGUCGGCAUCACUUAUGGUUCCCUUCUGGCUUGUUUCUAUGAUGACUUCGCCAUGCAGAUUACCGGAACUUACACGGCACGGGACGCGGAGCAGGAGAUGCUGACCACCGUCAAGACCUCGCUGCUGCCGGAGCCUAACGGCUACACCCUCAAGCUGGUGAAGAAGGUGCUCAUGCAGAGUAUCGAGCUGCUGGCCUUCCUCGCGCAGGGCGGCGCGCAACCAGACUGGGUCUACGCCUACAGAGUGGCGGGGCAGAUCAAGAGGGACAUCAAAGGGCGGCUGAGGACGAUGGUGGCCGAGGAUACCUUCACCCACCACAUCCUGCAGACGCUAGUGGAGGAGUACAAGUUCUUCCAACUGCUCGUCAACAAUCACUUCGAUGAGAUGGAGCUGGAGAUGAAGUUCUUGGAGUUCUGGCCUACAACGAAGGUUUCUGGCACGCUGCGGAAGGGGAAGGACACCCAGCUGUCCCUCACUGUCACCACGCCCACUCUCAAACACCUACUGGAAGGACGCAUCUUGUUCAGCAGUGGUGAGUGGCGGUCAGCCCACAGCGGAUCCUUGGCGUACACACAGCGGGACAAAGGGGGACGCGUCGUGCCCUUCAAAGUGGAACUGGAAGCCAGCAGAUGGAACAGCAACAAACAGAAGUACAAUCUGUUAUUCCAGUGUUCGCCUCCUCAGACGCACAUAGCCAAGGAGCUGCCAUUCGCGUCUGACCUGGAAGACAUGCGGUAUCCCUUAGAGCAGUCCCGCCGAGCUUCAGCUAUCACCAGCUUCCAGGCCACACUGGAGGUGACGCGGGAUCCCACCUACAACCAGUACAAGAUGACGUGGGAGACAGAAGAGACAGUGAGCUACACCAAGGUGGUGGUGGCCAGAAAUCCCCACGGCGGCAAUGGCCUCGUGCAGUACCGGCGCCACGUGAAAAGCAUCCCCAAAUCUGAGAUCGAGUACCUGCUAGAGGGGAACUACCGCCGCGUGGCCAAUGAAGUCAUGUUCUCCUGCACCCUUGACCAGUCCUCCAUCGGCAGGCCACGUGCCAUCAACUUCUUACACUCCGAGGGGGAGGGCUACACGGAGCUGCUCCUUGACCUGUUCGCGGAGGAAAGUGACCAGGUGAUCCUUGUCAUCAUGAACCUCCCUGAGCACUUCAGAUUUAGAAUUGGACAGUACGGGAACACCUUCCUGCUCCUGGGGUACCAAAGCGACAUAGAUGAUGAAGGAGCCAUCAUUUAUAAAGUACAGGUGCAGAACUCCGGGCGCACGGUGGAAGUAUGGAGCGGAAAUGAAGAGGAGGACACCAAGACGUGCAUGGUGGCCGGGGUGAUGCUGGAGACUCCCACGCUGGCGCCCACACACAACAUGCUCAAGCUGUGCCCCGGGAAUACCCCUUAUGUGAUGGUGCAGGCGCUGGGUGUAGAGAAACACGAGGGUCCCUAUCUGAAGGUGGGGCAGAUUUCAGGUCCCGGGGGUCUGGGUCUACAGGUGGGCACUGGAAGACUGCGACCACUGGACACUCCUCCGGCUCUCACUCUCACGGCCAAUGUUCAGAAGGAGGUGCUGGAAGUGCUCACUGACUGGCAGGUGCCGUCACUCUCGCGCUUGGAGGCAGAGUUUGCUUCUCGAGGGACCUCCAUGGUAGGAGCGUUCAGGGACUUCGGCUAUCCUACAGUAGUGAUUGAGGGCGGCCUUUAUAUCACCCCGCUCGUCAGCGACACAGAAGACCUUCUCCAACAGGCGUUAAACUUUACCCGCUCCACUUCUGUACAAUUAUGGACGAAGUUGGUGGGCAAUGUCUUCAGUAAGGAUGGAGACGUGUUUCAUGAGAUGGGCAGAGCCGUGGUGCGACACGCUGAGUCUGUAGUGGAUACCUGUGUGGUGGCUGCGCACUCUGUCUUUACCAAACUGAAAGGCUCGGCAGAAAACGUAGCCACGAGCACAGUCACUUUGCUGCGGAACGCUACUACAGGCGCGAUAAAUACAUUCAAUGCAGCCGAGCAGCGAGUGUUGAGGGCAGUGAACGGUGUGACGGCCAGGCUGCAUCACCACCUGGGGCCGCCCCUCACUCAGGUGCGCGCCACCCUGACAGCCCUCAGCUAUAACGAUGACCAAAGCCUGUACGCCCUGGUGUCGAGGGUCAUGGGCGGCUUGCGGAGGAGGAUUGGGCGACGUGAAGGCAUGAGGGGCUAUGUGACCGACCAGCUGCUCACCAGGGCGGAGAAAAUAGUGGUCGAGAACGCCUACUGGGACGGGCUGCGGGACACGGGCAGUACACUCCUCCGGCACUUGCAGAAUGUGACAACCAUUAGCAUUGUGAUGCCGCACCAGACAGCGCUGAUGAUCAGGGUAGCGAUGCCUAACCGCAUGAAGAGGGAUCUGGAGGAGGCGAUCCACUGGUUGGUGAAUAAAGAGGGGCCACGGCUACUGGUGGAGGCCGAGGGAUUGACGAAGGCUUACUGGGCGCGAACACGGUACCUCCUUACCUGGCCCGUGUACGGAGAGGCGAUGGUGUUCGGAUGGGAUCAAGGCAUCACCUGGGACGGCCGCCAAGUGACCCCUCUCCUGACCGACGCUUGCCGUCACCUGCUGGUGCUGCUGACUCACGCCGCCACGCCCACCGCCAUCACGCUGCACGUAGAGGACCUGGACAGUCGCCCUCGGGAGGUGCUCACCUUCUUCAGCGGCAACAACGUCGUCACUCUAGACUCGUUGCUCAAGAUGACCUACAAUGGCAAGCACAUCCGUCAGCCGCUACUGGAGACGGGGGAUCUCACGCUACGGUGGUCAAGGAAUGAUGCCUCCGUGACCUCCACCGUGGGCUUGAGUCUCGAGUGCCAGCUGGACCAGCCACUGUGCCGUCUAGUGGUCAGCGAUCAGCACUUCGCGGCUACUGUCGGUCUUCUCGGCGUCUUCGACUAUGACAACAGCUCAGACUACAUGACGAGCCGCUGGGAAAUGCCCGCGACGGAGGAGGAGUGGGUGCAGAGCUGGCGAGUGGGCACGCCAGGACAGUGCGCCUCGCAGCUGCCGGAGUCACACAUCUCACCGCCACACGGACAUCACUGCACUGACCUUUUCCAGAGUUCCAGCUCCCCCUACAGGUACGCAGGUGGUGUUUCCGUAGCGUGCCUCCCUCGCCCUACCUUCAGACGUGCCAGGCGGGGUGGGAGUGCGCCUCCCAACAAGCCUUUCUCCAGGCCUGCAGGCGCCACUACCACGAACUCACGCCCAAUCUCACAUGCAGUUCGUGUUUGCUGGAGGAGACGAGGGAGGAAGGUACGGAAGGACUGAGGAGAGAGGUGGUCAUCAUUACGGACUUCGAGUGCUGGAAUGACCCGCAGGACCUCAUCACGGCUCUCUCCAGGAACACAAAGAGACCCAACAAGGUGAUGAUCCGUUACAUUGGCCGAGGACCGCCGUCAGAGGGACCCUUUCAGAACGUGGCCGAGACUGUGGUGGACAACGGGGCACUACCUAUUGAAACAAUCCUCAACUCGGCCCUCUUUGAUUUC